AUGAGUUUGAACGAAGCUGUUCUGGUCUUUCGGGGCAAGUGAACGCUUCACUCAAUCCAUCUUACACCUGUGCACUUUUGGGGGGAAAACAGAGGAUUCAAAGUUGGAUAACGACGAUGGUACUCAUGUUUUUCUCUUCUAUAACAAAUUACAAGUCUUUAGAAAGUCUUACUUUUGCUUGAUGCAAAGAAAAUAUAAUA
rnacentral:misc_RNA from 1 species